rnacentral:lncRNA from 1 species
AUUUUACAUUAUUUCUUUGAUCCAUCGAAAUAAAUUCUGACAAAAAAAAAUAUACAGAGAAGCAAAAUAACAGGAAAAAGAAAAUGAUGAACUUUCAGAAGAAAAAAAAUAGUUAACAAAAUUAAUCAUGAGGAUUUCUUCAGUUGUGAUUCUUCUUUUUCCUUUUUUUUUUCUCGUUCUCUUUAUCUGUAUUCAUCUUGGAUUUCCGUUGGUAGCGUGAAGCUGAAUCAGUUCAAUAGACUAGAUUCAGUGAAGAAUUCUCCAUCAGCCACAUUAUAUAACUGCAUAUGUGCUUCUCUCAAACUCCUUUCAAUGAAUCUUUUUCUUUGUCUGCUAUAACUCAGAUUCUGCAAAACAAUAAUAAAAGAUUGAUCAUUUUAUAAUUGUGUUACAAUAAAACGUAUUGAAACAAACACAGAUUCCCCAUUUGAGAAUGACUUCUUAUCGUUACUUUUAUCACUUGCUAACGUAAAUGAAUAUAACUUGUUUUCAGAAAGAACUGAUAUGAAGAGAAUCAAAGUUAAUGUUUGUACAUUUAUACAUAAUUCAAAAACAUCAAUGAAGCACAAACACAAUUAUAAGAUCCAAAUUAAAAGAAAAACUGUGAACUUAUCUUAGUCAAAGUGACAAAGGCAGAUCACCGUCUUGGUAUUGCUAGGUGAUGAACCACAUGUUUCACCGUGAACAUGUUUUUUAUACAGAGAGAGUGAGAGAGAAAAAAUAUAGCUUAUCAUGAAAAUAAAAAUGGGUUUAAAUGAUGAUUGAGCAGUUAGAGAAACAUGAUAGAGAACGUGAAGAGGGAGAAAUUCUAGGGAUAUUUUC